rnacentral:piRNA from 1 species
UGGGCUCAGUUGAGAGUGACAUCAGGAAAU